rnacentral:lncRNA from 1 species
UUCACUUCAGCUUGUUAUUUCCCGUUCUGAAAGAAGUCAUGAACUUGGUACCAUUAAUGAAAAGGUGUUUCGUGGGAAGUAUUUUGGACAGGGGCAGAUUUUAGAGUGUUUUCAUGCUGAUUGGCCGUGCUUCAAUUGACCCGGAGAGAUAUUAAGUAAAAAGUGCAUUUGCUUGAGCCAUUUUAUGUGAAGAAAUUAGUGAAGAAUAACUUAUUGCUUUCCCAUGUUAAAUAGAUACUAUUAGGAUCCUAUAUUUUAAAUAAAUUCCAAUUGUUUAUUAUAUACUGGAAAAGAAAAAUCUGCUUCACUUUGUGAGUAAAGGUAAAUGGUACUGAACUGCUUCAGAAUUGCUAAUUUUUAAUGAAACUGUUCUUGUUGGCAUUACAAUGCAAAAGCUUAAUCUCAUUGGCAUUGAGGUAUUGCUAUAUAAAGUAACUGGCACUAGAAGGGGGAUAAAUAUUUGACUUCUCCCCUUCCAGCUUCUUUGUGGUAAAUUUUGUAUUAAAAAGAAACAAGCUGCAACUUCCCUAUAAUCCAGCACCUCUGGAAAAGGAUGACUUGUUAAACAAUUCCUAGGAAGGGAAAGCUGAGGCCCGCUCCUUCCCUGCUUGUUUGUAGAUGCUGGUUCCAUCCAGCAAUGGAUGCUUGGAGCUACCAGACAGCUUCUAUACUUACUGUGUAGUAAGCUUAUCUUUUCUAUGGAAAUCAGUAGAGGUGACUGGCUUCUUUAGUCUCUUGCUCUUGUGGAGGUUACAUGCCACCUUCUUAGUAGGCAGGCUUUUUUUCCCUGUGUUCUCUCUGAAAGAUCCUCUGCUUUUUGAUCUGUUUUUCCCCUCAAUACUAGCUAUGGUCAGAACUGUUCUUUUGUUCUGAUACUUGUGAAUUUCCUCUUUAACACUGAAUUCUGACUAUUCUAGAUGACAGCAUGGUGUUCAGGAGGACGACAGUGUUCAUAUCUUUUUGCACUCUUGUUCUACCAGCAUUUGCAAGAAUACCUAGUACUCCAUAGGCACUGGUAAAUUUUAACUGAACAAAUUAGAAAAAACAUUGCCCUGACCCCAAUGCCUGGCUAAGUACUUCAACCAUUGCCAUUUUGGACAUGCCUAAAAUCUGGUGAGGUGUGAAAACACUUUCUCUCUCUCUCUCUCUCUCUCUCUCUCUCUCUCUCUCUCUCACACACACACACACACACACACACACACACACACACACACACACACGGUGGGAGAUGUCAGUCUUUGCAUCUCUCACUCUCUGUUGCUCUCCAUCUGAUAACAGCUGAUCUACCUUUUUAUAUAGUUAAUUCUUCAAGUUCCUCCUCCCAGGCUUUGCCUUGGCUAUAUCAAAAUACUCAACAGUGCUUCUACCUUACACACCUCCUGUCCCUUUGAUUACUGAAGACAUUGACCUUUAGUUAUCUGAGUUUAGGCUGGAUCUUACUCCAGAGGCAUAGUUAGGACCAAGACUUCUCAUACUUUGAUGUCAUAACAAAGUCCCUGGCUUUGGCAGUUCUGAGGGACCAAGGGCUGUCAGUGAUAACAUUUAGGCUACAAAACUUGUGGCAGGGGAGGGAGAUAUCAGGCUUGCUGAGUCUAACAUAACUCAGAAAAGUUCUUGGUGAUAGAUCUAGAAAUAACCUGCUCAUUACUGUGUGCUUUGCCUGGGUUUCCCCCUCCCCCCACCUUUUUUUCACUUUUAUAAACAUAUUCUGAACCAGGAGAUUAUGAGGAAUAUGCAGUUAUCUGAGUUUUCAAGUGACCAGAGUUUGGUACCUAAAGAGAGUCACUUUCAAAUCAUUAUUCACAGCAUUUUUUUUUUUUUUGCCAGUUCAAAACACAAGGAAACUGUAACUGAAAAUCAUGGUAAUUUAUUUUUAUACAGAACUAAGUUUUAGAAAUGUGUCUGAGUAAAUACAUCAUAAAAACCUGCAAAAUGGAGCUGAGGAGCUCAGCAAUUAAAAGUGUGUGUUGUUCUCAGAAGACCUUAGUUUAGUUCACAGCACCCACGUCAGACAACUCAUAAGUGUCCAUAGUGUCUCUAGAGCAUCUAAUAUCCUCCUCUGGACUUCUUGGACCUUUGUACUUGGAUACACAUACCCUCACACAUAUGCAUAGAUUGUAAAAUAAAUAAUAAAAAUAACCAUUUAAUUAAAAAAUCCUAUAAAAUAAUGUUAGUACUUUUAAUAGUGAGAGGGAAGAAAAGAUCAAUGUUUUGGGAAAUGAGAAUAAUAGUUGUACCAAAAUACAACGGGCUUACUGCUGUAGUAUAUUUAAUUUAUUGCCAAAUUUUUGUGGUAACCAGUUUACCAGAAAAAGCGGAUAGGGUGGAGUGGGAGGGCCUAUCUGGAUUUGAUAUUUAGGAGAAUCAAUUAGAUGCCAUUUGCAGGAUGUUUCCCAUGGUACCUGACAGAAUCACAGAGAAUAAAGUAGACCUCUUUAAUGUGGUCAUAUCUCUGACAACUUUCAAGAGGAGAAAAAUGAAGAGAACAUGAUGAGGAAAAGACUCCUGAUGGAGAUUUCUCUGUGGGGCUAAGCUGUUCCAGUGGUCCAGGUUCUGGCAUAUGCCUCAAUACUUAAAUAGAGCUCAGAAGAUGAGUGGGAUCAGGGACUAACAUGUCCACUAAGCUAACUCUUUUGAUAUCCAGUGUCGGCCUGGAUUUUGUCCCAAGCAACUGGAGAGGACAGGACAGAUGGGUAUUUGAACAUGGCCCUGUAGUAGUAGAGCUCCUGAGUAGGGACUCCUAAUGCUUUGGGUCUUGAUCUCUGUAGAUCUGCUUUCAGGGUGACAUGUCUGUUUUCUUUUCUGUCCCACUUCUAAAUUGUGAUGAAAGCCUGUGUGGGGGUUUGCCCAUCCCUAACAUGGAUUCCUAGAAAGACCUUGAUACUUGGGUACAGUUAUUGGAAGAGGAUGGGUCAGGGCAGCUUCUUUUUCGCUUCCAGGUCAGCGUGAGCAACAUCUUUCAACAUGGCUUAGCUAAAAAUGGAUUACAUGAGGAGCCAGAGCAUGUGAUUGUUUCUGUGAUUGGGGCUUGAGCUUGUGUCAAAGCUGGAUAAGCAAUGCAUGGCAAGUUAGCAUGUUUGUUUGAAAGCCAUUUCCGUGCCUUGAUUUGAUUUCUCAGCCUGCAGGUAUUCAUUUAUCUACCAUGUACCUGACCCUGUAGCUAGUGACAGGUGGAGCAGUGUGCAAAGAUUAAGCCCAGGUGUGCUUCAGUGUCCUCCAUUGAUGAAAUAGGCAUGCCCUUUGGGGUUUCCUCUAAGAUCCUUGGCUGAGGGUCAGGGGAGGAUAAAGUCACUUUCUUUCUAAGAGCUGCUUGUCUUGUGGUACUUCGAGAACCCCACCAGGAUCCACCAACUGAAUCUAAGAGCUUGAAUGUAUUGAGGCUAAUGAAUUUCUCACAGAGUAUGCUCAUUUCCACUUUAAUUUCCAGAACUUUCUAGUGCAUUAUAGAACUUGAGCAGAUACCACGUCCAAAACAGAAUCUCAAUCACAUGCUGUCAUCCUUUGAGAGUCAGAGUAAUGAUUGCCGCCAAUGCUAAUGUGCUUGUCUCUACUGCCAUAAUUUUAGGGAGGCCCUAAGCCAUGUGUGCAGGCAGCUCUUGGUCAGUGAGAAGCCACCCUCUAUGAUGAAACCUGCUAUUUUUUGUCUAAAUUGAUAGUCAGAGGGCUUGGGUUUGAACCCAAGAGGGUUGAUGAACUGUGUCUCUGGAAACAUGCUCUGGCCCUUUCAUUACCACAGACACAUAUCCUCCAAGGUGCACCAAGGUGCAGAGAAUGUGUCCAAUGGCCAAAGAUGUUCAUGACAUGUUAAAUCUGUACAAUAUGUAUAUCUAGACUUAAAACCCAAAGUGACCAUAUUUGAGUCUUUGGCCAGAAAAAUAUAACCUUGAAUUGCUGCUAAAUAAUAAUUACCGAAAUUGACAUUUAUGUAGAGGUUUUUGAAAGACCAAACACCUAGGUGCAAAUUCAUGACCUAAGUUGUAGUUUGAAAACGUUGCUGAUCUGCACAUCUGAAUUCCAUUUUAUCUUCUUCAUCCUGACAUUUUCUACUAGUUUUCAUGUUUCUGCAUCCUCUUUUACCAAAACUUGCAAAUGUGUACCAAACAUGUUCUCCACUCAACACAUGCACAUAUGUGUAUUUGUGUAUUACUAAUGGAAUAUUGCCACCUCAUGGUGGGGCACAUCCAACAUUUAGAGAGGAUCUGCUAAACUGUUAUUCGUUCAAGUCUCUAGAGCCCAAAGAGGGCUUAAGGAAAUCGUUGCUCUCUUUCAUGGUGCAGAAUUUAAGGAACUAUUGGAGCCUUGAGUAGUAAGUCAGCCUAAGUCAAAGCUGGAGUACAGGUGGGCAAGUGGAGGUGCCUGCUGGUCUUCUUUGUUGAGGGGUUUAGUGGCAGGCAUUGAGGAAUCCACGGAAUAUCCUGACCUUUUGACAUCUGUUGCUCCUGUGCAGGCAGAAUAGAUCAGAGACUGCCCUCCACCAUCUUAGUGUUUUCUCAGGACUGGUUUCCCAAGGUUCAGCAAUGUGGACCCAGCAAAGAAUGCUUGAUGCUAACAACUAUGCUAUUUCCAGCCUUGUUCAUCUUUUUCUCACAUUUCUCUGCUGUAUGCACCAAUGUCUUACCAACCUACAUGCCCAAGGUCACAGAGUCCGUCUCUGUGUCCAGGAUAUGCCAUGUUCUUACACACAGAGGCAAAGGCACUGCUCAUGUCAUUGUAUGAAAUGUUACCCAUGCCCACAUCAUAGCCCAUAGAUCCUGCUCUCCCUUUCAGCCCUUUCUCUGACUCCUGGACAUGGUGGUAGAGCCUGUCUUUUACUAUUAGCCUGUUUGUUCUUUGUCACUUAUGGCAGAGAAAUCCUGAACAUAGCAACUUAAUAUAAGUGUCCCAGAGUCUGAUUUUACACUGGUGUGUGUUACAGAUGUCCAGGAGUGAAGAGGGUAGAUAAUUAAACCUGCACUAUCUUCAUGUUCGUUGAGUGACUGCGCAUUACAUGCAUACAUAUUUAGGAAGCAACGAAUAGCCAGUGUUCCUCCAGAGAGUGUGUGGACCUGAGUUCUUGGUAUUGCUUUUGUUUUGUUUUGUUUUGUUUUGCUUUGCUUUGCUUUGCUUUGCUUUGCUGUGUUUUGUUUUGUUUUGUUUUGUUUUGUUUUGUUUUGUUUUGUUUUGUUUUGUUUUGUUUUGUUUUUCCAAGGCAGGAUUUCUCUGUGAAGCCCUGGCUGUCCUGGAAUUCACUCUGUAGACCAGGCUGGCCUCGAACUCAGUGAUCUGCAUGCCUCUGCCUCCCAAGUGCUACUGAUUCAUACCAUCACAGAAGUGUUUCACAGAUUCACACCAUCGCAGAAGUAUUUCACUGUUAUUUUAGAGCCCUAUUACUUUAAAAAAUACAAUCAUAAUAAUGUACACCAUCUCUUGACUUAUUUUUUAACAUUUAAAGUAGUAAUUUGCACAUGCAGAGAACAGCCAACUCUGCUUUAUUUCCAUUACAAUCCCACCUAUGAUGGUUUGUAUAUUCUUGGGCCAGGGAGUGGUACCAUUUGGAAGUGUGACCUGGUUGGAUUAGGUGUGCCUCUGUGGGUGUGGGCUUAAGAUCCUCACCCUAGUUGCCAGGAAGUCAGUCUUCCACUAGCAGCCUUUGGAUGAAGAUGUAGAAAUCUCAGCUCUGCCCGUGCAGUGCCUGCCUGGAUGCUGCGAUGCUCCUACCUUGAUGGUAAUGGAUUGAACCUCUGAACCUGUAAGCCAGCCCCAAUUAAAUGUUUUUUAUAAGACUUGCCUUGGUCAUGGUGUCUGUUCACAGCAGUAAAACCCUAACUAAGACACCACCCAAGCCUGCCUAUAAUUUCUGCUAUCUUCCAGUACCUGAAGAUUUUGACUUAUGUCUCAAAUGUAGCCAAAGCACUGAAAACCAAAUGGCAAUAUACAUUUGUCUGAUUUUUUUCCUUUAAGAAAACAAAGGACCAUAGGAAUUUAACACCAAAUAUCCCUUAAAAAUAGAAGCCAUGUUUUCUGAGGUUGAUUUAUUCUGGAGCUUAGUCCUUACACAGAAUUCAACAAACAGCCACACUCCUGGGGCCUUGGAGGGUAUAAAAAAUCUCAUUCAUUUAGGUUUCUAAUUGUAAUGUAUACUCUGCAGAUUAUUUACUAUUAUUUAAAACACGUUCUCAUGAUGGACAGAAUAGCAUGCAUACUUGUAAUUCCACCAUUUGAGAUGCUGAGGCAGGAGAAUUAUAAGUUUGACAUCAGCCUUGACAAUAUCUGGCUAUGUUUGUCUCAAACAAACGAACAAACAAACAAGC